rnacentral:rRNA from 1 species
UACGUAGGGGGCAAGCGUUUGUCCGGAUUUAUUGGGCGUAAAGAGCGUGUAGGCGGCCAGGUAGGUCUGCUGUGAAAACUCGAGGCUUAACCUCGAGCUGUCGGCGGAAACCAUCUGGCUAGAGUCCGGAAGAGGAGAAUGGAAUUCCCGGUGUAGCGGUGAAAUGCGCAGAUAUCGGGAAGAACACCCGUGGCGAAGGCGGUUCUCUGGGACGGUACUGACGCUGAGACGCGAAAGCGUGGGGAGCGAACAGG